rnacentral:rRNA from 1 species
UUGAACGCUGGCGGCAGGCCUAACACAAGCAAGGCGAGCGGAUGAAGGGAGCUUGCUGCUGGGUUCAGCGGCGGACGGGGGAGUAAUGCCUAGGAAUCUGCCUGGUAGUGAGGGAUAACGUCCGGAAACGGGCGCUAAUACCGCAUACGUCCGGAGUGAGAAAGUGGGGGGUCUUCGGACCUCACGCGAUCAGAUGAGCCUCGGUCGGAUGAGCUAGUUGGGGGGGUAAAGGCCUACCAAGGCGACGAUCCGUCACGGGUCUGGGAGGAGGAUCAGUCCCACUGGAACUGGGCCACGGUCCUGGCUCCUGCGGGAGGGCGCAGUGGCGAAUAUUGGACAGCGGGCGAAAGCCUGAUCCAGCCAUGCCGCGUGUGUGAAGAAGGUCUUCGGAUUGUAAAGCCCUUUAAGUUGGGAGGAAGGGCAGUAAGUUAAUACCUUGCUGUUUUGACGUUACCAACAGAAUAAGCACCGGCUAACUUCGUG